rnacentral:misc_RNA from 1 species
CAGGUUUGUACUUCGUUGCAAUCUGGUUGUUGGGUUCUAAUGUUUCUCGAUCUGUUUGUUUGUUUGUUUUAGGGGAGUAUUUUGGCUGCUGAAUUUCCUUUUUUUGUGGAGGAUAGAUGCAAGUUUGUUUUUCAAUUUAAGUGCCUUGAAUUGAGGCCAGAAGCAGUAUUCUGUUGUUCAAUUGGUUGAUUGGGUUCAAGUUAGAGUUGAAGUGAAUUGAAGGGGCAUCUAUGAUAAGAAGAUUUUCGAAUUGUUGGAAUUUGAGGAUUUGAUGGCAUUCGUUUAUCAUUUUGGCGUCUUAUUUUGCGUCAUAUAGGUGUAAGACUAGAGGAAUUUCUAGUCAAAUAUAUCCAAUUGUGGUUCUUUGUCUUACUUUUGUACAAAAUGAUGCUUUGUAGUUGCAGUUAGCAGCCACAGAGAAUUAGUACCAACUUGAUCAUAUCUCUAUUGUCUAACAACGAUGAAAAUUAAUGCAUGCCUUCUAGAAAUGAACUAAGAAGUAGCACGCAAAAGGCUUUCUAUUUGUCAUUGUCAAUCCCAAGUUGUAUUUAGCAACCUUCCCCCUUUCCCUUUCAAAACAACCUUAGAAAAGUUGGUGGAUAUUCAGACUUGUUGCUCUCAUCCUUCCAUUGAUUGAUUCACAGCCUGUUUGCAUCAGUUACAUGGAAUUCUUGAUGUGACUUCUAGGGAUGCUAAGUGUGAGAAUUCAGAAGAGCUAAUUAGAAAUGGAUUCAUCACAUUGAUGAGUGAAGCUGUGGCCUUAUGUACAAUUGAGAGAAUGCUAUUGGUGGGUCGGAUUUGAAAUAUUGGGACAAUUGGUAACAAUAAGGAAGGAGGUUAAGACAUGAAAUACGAAUAAGUAAAGAUGCAUGGGCCUCUAGUUGCUUUUGUGGGUUUUGGAUGAGACAUAUAUCAGACGCUCUAGACUCUUGAUAUUUUCAGCUGAUAGAGGACCAUUGUUGCUUAUGAGCAUUGUUGAAUGAAAGUUGUAGAUAUCAUUGUUCUUCACUCCUAUUAUGACUAUUUUGCUAUCUGUUAAAAUUCCAUCCUGCUAGGUAGAAGAUUUUUGCUGAUACGAUG